CUGCCAACUGCCACCUAACACACGGUUGUCAUAGCAGCACUAGUGAAUAUUGGAAUUCAACUAUAGGCUACAGCCGAUGAAUAGUUCCAUGGAGUUCAUCAAGACAACCUCUCUCUUAUGACUUUACUGUGUCAAAUGCUAGCGCAAGAAGCAAGCUAAAAUGUGUGUUUCCAUGGAAGAACAUUUAUAAGGAUACAUUCUUAUCAUGAUUUCAUCAUUAUAUAUAAAUUACGUUUUCUUAUUUAAUUAGUAUUUUAAAAGAUUCAAUCUUUGACCGCCUUAACUCGCCCAAGUAUUGGUUGGGCUUUGUAUUCACAGCUAUCCAUCUGGGUCUUGUUACAGUGCCUUCGCUUCUAGGCUUCUAAUUCUUACAUUUUCAAAUUCUAGACCCUAUAAAUGAACUGGAUUCUGCAUUACUGUGAAUCACCAAGCUUUCCAAAAGUAGUUCAAAGAUGAGAAAGGACCUUGCCCAACUGAGGUUCUUCCUCUUUUUUCUCUCCCUAGCUAUGGCGACUCUUUAUAGAAAUGGAUUUUAAUGUGGGAGUGGUCGUUGAGUUUGAUACAUCGGUUGGAAAGAUGGGUCUAAACUGCAUCCCCAUGGCCCUCUCAGAUUUCUAUGCCUCCCGUGGUAACUACAAGACUAGGCUCGUUCUGAAGACCAGAGACUCCAAAAGAGAUGUUGGUGCAGCUGCAGCAGUUGAAUCAUGGUGUUGACCGCAUCCCUCAAAAUGUUGAAGAGUUCACUAAGGGUUAUGACGUACUGUAUCAUGGAUGUGAAGAUGAUGUAGGUGUUGAUCAUUGCAAAGACUUUUGGGAGAAGCAUCUAGGCAAAUCUAUGUACUUCUUUUAGAAUUAAUAGAUUUGUUCUAUAAUCAAUUAAAUGCAUGAAUUUUACAUUUGUAGAGUUUC